rnacentral:lncRNA from 1 species
GUGCUCCUCUGUGAGCCUGGCCACUUUUUAUUGUGUCACCAGGGAGCAUUCUGUAUGCAAAGCAGGCUGGGCUGGCAGCCUGAACCUUUGCAAAUCAAUUUGUCUGUGAAGGCGAGUCCGCUGGAGUGAAAGAUGGUCUAACAGGGCAUGCUGCCCCCUCUCUUAGUGACAUCAUCGCCUGUGGUACUCUUGUCAGUCAUGUCUGCCCAAAGGACCGACUGCUGGGGAUGUAGGGCCAGGCUGGGGAUAGGGCCCCCACAGGCCAUUGGAAUGAAUAUGACCCAGCAGUGUCUCCCUGCAAUGCUACUUCACAAAAGAAAGGAUGUCCCUGGCUUGUGUGUUGUCCCAGCAUCCCGUCUCAGAUGUGCCUUCUGGACUGCAAGUUACAUGGCUGCCCUGCUCAGAGAUCAAGGUUUAGCUCUGGGUCACAGCACUGGUGGGCGGUGGGAGCAGCAGUCAAGCCUGGAACUCCCAUUUCUGCUGGAUUUGGUGAAAUGCAGUUCCUUCCCUCAGGGAGUUUCUGGUAACUUUGGCAAGAAAAGUUAUUUCCCACAAAGGAAGGUGGUUCUUUGGAGAAAAACGAAAUUUAGAGUCAGACUAGACUCAGCUUUUUUAGAGUCAGACUGGACUCAGCUUCUAGUUCUCUCUCCCUGGCUGUUAGCCUUUGGCAAC